UUAUGGCCAUAUCACGUUGAAACACCGUUUCCCGUACGAUCAUCGAAGUUAAGCAACUGGUGAGUACUUAGAUGGGUGACCGCUUGGGAAUACCAGGUGUUGUAAG